CCCCAUGGAGCUUUACUGUAGCUUGAUAUUGAGUGCUUGUACUGCUUGUACAGGAUAGGUAGGAGCCAUAGAAGCCAGGACGCUAGUUUUGGCAGAGGCGUUGGUGGGAUACUACCCUUGCAUUAUGAUCACUCUAACCCGCACCACUGAUCGUGGUGGGAGACAGUGUCAGGUGGGCAGUUUGACUGGGGCGGUCGCCUCCCAAAAGAUAACGGAGGCGCCCAAAGGUUCGCUCAGAAUGGUUGGAAAUCAUUCGCAGAGUGUAAAGGCACAAGCGAGCUUGACUGCGAGACAGACAGGUCGAGCAGGGACGAAAGUCGGGCUUAGUGAUCCGGUGGUUCCGCAUGGAAGGGCCAUCGCUCAACGGAUAAAAGCUACCCUGGGGAUAACAGGCUUAUCUCCCCCAAGAGUCCACAUCGACGGGGAGGUUUGGCACCUCGAUGUCGGCUCAUCGCAUCCUGGGGCUGUAGUCGGUCCCAAGGGUUGGGCUGUUCGCCCAUUAAAGCGGUACGCGAGCUGGGUUCAGAACGUCGUGAGACAGUUCGGUCCCUAUCCGUCGCGGGCGUAGGAAAUUUGAGAGGACCUGUCCUUAGUACGAGAGGACCGGGAUGGACAUACCGCUGGUGUACCAGUUGUUCCGCCAGGAGCAUCGCUGGGUAGCUAUGUAUGGAUGAGAUAAACGCUGAAAGCAUCUAAGCGUGAAACUCGCCUCAAGAUGAGAUUUCCCAUUUCUUAUGGAAGUAAGACCCCUCAGAGAUGAUGAGGUAGAUAGGAUGGAAGUGGAAGUGCCGCGAGGCAUGGAGCGGACCAUUACUAAUCGGUCGAGGACUUAACCA
rnacentral:rRNA from 2 species